rnacentral:lncRNA from 1 species
UUGAAUAAAACACUCUUAUUAGAGUUAAGUAAGAACAAACUUGCCUGAACUGUUGAUUACCGCAACGCAAUUUAUAACACUUUACCCGAAGACCUAAAUUAAUAAUAUAGAUCUCCAAUAUUAGAAUAAUAUCAUCACAGUAUAAUAUUGUUAUAUUUAUAUACACAGAAUAACCUAAACAUAUAACACAUAAGCCUAUCAGUCUAUACAACGCACAAGACCUAAUAUUAAGUCAAACUAUUUCAGCCUGACUUAAAACUGACACAAUUCUAUCAUCCCGACGAUCUAGUCGGACAAUACUCGAGUUUAAGUUCAAUUAAACUCUGCUUAAACGCUUAACAAUUAUCACAGAUAAUUUUAUUAGCAGUCAAAACAUUUUUCCUAGGCUCGUAAAAAUUUUCAGAUAAUUAUCAC